rnacentral:rRNA from 1 species
AUUGAACGCUGGCGGCAGGCCUAACACAUGCAAGUCGAGCGGAAGCAGGGCGCAAGCUCCUGACUUCUGGGGAGGGCGGGAGUGUAAUGCCUAGGCGUGUGCCUGGGUGGGGGGGAUAAAGUCGGGAAAGGAGCGAUAAUCGCGUACGAGUUAUGAGGGAGAGCGGGGGGGCGCAUGGGCUCUCACGAUUUCAGAUGAGGCUAGGACGGAUUGGCUAGUUGGGGGGGUAAAGGCACACCAAGGCGACGAUCCGUAACUGGUCUGAGAGGAUGAACAGCCACACUGGAACUGAGACACGGCCCAGACUCCUACGGGAGGCAGCAGUGGGGAAUAUUGGACAAUGGGCGAAAGCCUGAUCCAGCAAUGCCGCGUGUGUGAAGAAGGUCUUCGGAUUGUAAAGCACUUUUAUUUGGGAGGAAACGCAGUUAGUUAAUACCUGGCUGUAUUGACGGUACCAACAGAAUAAGCACCGGCUAACUACGUG